AUCUAGGGUGGUACUGUCACAAAAGGGCUAAACAUGAGACUCUUAAUCUCAGGGUUGUGGGUUCAAGUCCCAUGUUGGAUG